UACAGAGGUCGCAAGCGUUGUUCGGAUUCAUUGGGCGUAAAGGGUGCGUAGGCGGCGCUGUAAGUCGGGUGUGAAAUUUCGGAGCUUAACUCCGAAACUGCAUUCGAUACUGCGGUGCUUGAGGACUGGAGAGGAGACUGGAAUUCAUGGUGUAGCAGUGAAAUGCGUAGAGAUCAUGAGGAAGACCAGUGGCGAAGGCGGGUCUCUGGACAGUUCCUGACACUGAGGCACGAAGGCCAGGGGAGCAAACGGG
rnacentral:rRNA from 1 species